CGGUUCGCUGCCCGCGACGUUGUGAGAAGUCCACUGAACCUUAUCAUUUAGAGGAAGGAGAAGUCGUAACAAGGUUUCCGUAGGUGAACCUGCGGAAGGAUCAUUGUCGAUACCUCAAUCAAAUUGACCUGUGAAUUUGUUUAACUAGCAGUGAUAGCUAGGGUCUUUAUGGCUUUAGCUUCACUUUGGUAAGGAUGGCUCAUGCAUCGUGUGAACUCCUGCCAAUAUACAAACCCCGGCGCAUUGUGCGCCAAGGAAUAUGAAUCUGUUGAUGAUGUGCUCGUGGACCCGGAGACGGUGUUUCAUGAGUGACAUUGUGACACAUAAUACUAAAUGACUCUCGGCAACGGAUAUCUCGGCUCUUGCAUCGAUGAAGAACGUAGCGAAAUGCGAUACUUGGUGUGAAUUGCAGAAUCCCGUGAACCAUCGAGUCUUUGAACGCAAGUUGCGCCCGAAGCCAUUAGGUUGAGGGCACGCCUGCCUGGGUGUCACAAAUCGUUACCCCACUGCAAUAUCCUAACUUAGGUUGUUGGUAGGGUGUAAGUUGACCUCCCGCAUGCAUUGUCUUGUGGUUGGUUGAAAAUUGAGUCCUUUGUGGAGAGUCCCAUGAUAAAUGGUGGUUGAGUAACCCUCGAGACCAAUCAUGUGUGGCUUUUUUCUCAUGGCUCAGGUGAUCCUUGUGUUCUUUAGAACACUCAUAACGAGACCUCAGGUCAGACGGGGCUACCCGCUGAGUUUAAGCAUAUCAAUAAGCGGAGGAAAAGAAACUAACAAGGAUUCCCUUAGUAACGGCGAGCGAACC
rnacentral:rRNA from 1 species